rnacentral:rRNA from 1 species
ACGGCUCAGUAACACGUGGUGAACCUGCCCUAAGCUGGGGGAUAAUCUCGGGAAACUGAGGCUAAUACCCCAUAGGCCAUGAGCGCUGGAAUGCCUUAUGGCUGAAAUCUCCGGAGGCUUAGGAUGGCACUGCGACCUAUCAGGUAGUAGGGAGGGUAACGGCCUCCCUAGCCUACAACGGGUACGGGCGUUGAGAGACGUCGCCCGGAGAUGAACUCUGAGACACGAGUUCAGGCCCUACGGGGCGCAGCAGGCGCGAAAACUGCACAAUGCUGGGAACAGCGAUGCGGGAAUACCAAGUGCCGCCACAAAGUGGCGGCUGUUCCAUUGUCUAAAAAACAUAGGAAGUAAGGGCUGGGUAAGACGGGUGCCAGCCGCCGCGGUAAUACCUGCAGCCCGAGUGGUGGCCGUUAUUAUAGGGCCUAAAACGUCCGUAGCCUGUUUGGUAGAUGCCUGUAUAAAUCGAACGGCUCAACCGUUCGAACUGCGGGUAGACCGCCAGACUUGGGACCGGGAGAGUCACGAAGUACUCCGGGGGUAGAGGUGAAAUUCUGUAAUCCUCGGGGGACUACCGGUGGCGAAGGCGUCGUGGUAGAACGGCUCCGACGGUGAGGGACGAAGCCCUGGGGCGCAAACCGGAUUAGAUACCCGGGUAGUCCAGGGUGUAAACGCUGCGGUCUUGGUGUCGGAAGUCCUACGAGGGCAUUCGGUGCCGGAGAGAAGUUGUUAAGACCGCUGCCUGGGGAGUACGGCCGCAAGGUUGAAACUUAAAGGAAUUGGCGGGGGAGCAC